CACCCUCGCCGCUUCCCUCAGACUGGAAGCAGGCGCGGGUGGGGCAGGGAAUGGAGGGACGCCGCGCGCCCGGAUGCCAUUGCGCAUGCGCUCGGCGGCCCGUGCGCCUUUGCGAGAGGCUUGACUGAGGACUCCGGGACCUCCGGCGGCGUGGGGCGCAAGUUCCCCCGGCGCAAGGCGGGAAGGCGCGCGCCCAGCUGCGCUUUGACAGAAACAAGAAAUCCAUCCCAUUUCUUCAGCGUAAAUGUUUGUUGGUAUGGGUGUCAGAGCUGCAUCUUGCAAACCCAGCUUACAAAAUUCCACUUCCAAGACCAGUGUCUUCAUGAGGAAGAAUGACUCUUAGUGGAAGGACCUCUCUCUCUCAUUGGACGUGACAUACAGAAGGCUCUCAGAAAAGAUUUGCUGUUUGAAAUUCCAUGGACACUGCCUGUCAGCUUUAUCUAAGCGUUGAGACAAGUGGUGAUCACACUAUAUACCAAAUUGAAUUCUGGUUGGAAUAAGGAGUUAAAUAUGAAGGAUUAAAAAAAUCAAGGAUGUGAAUGCAGCCAAGUGUGUGACCACUCUCCCUUCCAGAACCUGGGGCAGGCAGAUCACACUAAUGGAUCACAGUUUUGUUUCCCUCCGGACUCUUCUUGCCGUACUACUCCAGCCAUUCAAAUGUUGAAGAAGGAGCAACUUUCUUUUGUUCUGUUUCCUGCCUUCAGACCAGACCUGUGGACAACAAGGCUCUUAGAUAAGUUCCUGGCACAGAGCUUCUAAAAUCAUUUGACUGUCCUGAGUGAUGGGAUUGUCUUUUGCUGUUUAUUAGAAGCCCCUUUCAACCACAGGACCUCCUCUGACAUCUGUAGACCUGCAAGCAAAUCCACUAGGUCCAUGGGAAUCAACAGCCCUGGGGACAAUUGUCAUCCAGUGAAGGAUGCAAACCAGUGGAUAAAAGCUCUCAUCUUUCAGGUGUUCUGUUCUGGGAGGCAUUCUGUAUGUUUCUCUGAGGUUCUGGCAGAAGUGAGACCCUCAAUAACAGAAUGCCUCCCAGAACAGAACACCUUUCCCUUGUCUCGUUUCUGUUUUCUAGGAUCACCUCCCAAAUAAACUACAUGAACCCAAGUAUUUAUCUCAGGCUCUGCUUUUUGGGAAACCUAAACUUGGUGGUUGGUACCAGGAGUGACCCUAGGUGUACACCCUCAGGAUGGGAUUCUGGAACCAAAUCACUCA